rnacentral:lncRNA from 1 species
GUUGAGCACGCAGUUGUUUUCCAGAAAUGUAGUGAACAAGAUGGAUUGAAGGUAAUCUUGGUUAACCUGAAAAAAAUCACAGGGCAGAUGAGUAGGCAAGAAUGCACUUCAUCACUCUUGCUCUCAGAGAGAAGGAAAGAGAGCUGGAAAUGCCCUUGGAAAGCAGCCUCCACAGCUACCUGGGUCAUCUAAAUUUGCUACAUUCCAAAGGAAUGACUGCAUCCGAGUGUGAUUUUCAUCCGCGCUUGGGAAAAUCCCCCUGAAGGAACCUGACACUUUUAAUCUAAACUCUGGGCAAACUAGCUGCUACUGCAUCUGAAUGAUUUGCAAGCAAAUGAUCCUACUCUCUGAAGCUUAUGAUUUCAUUUUAUUUUAUGUUUAUUUUCCCUCUCUGAAUGAAAAGUACCACAUUAGGAAGUCAGUGUUUGUGUGUGUGAUUUUUGUUUUACUUGGUUUUGUUUUUAUUCUCAAAUGAAAGUACCCUGCCAGUAAUCACUGGUGUUUUGGGAAGACAACCAGUAGCAGUGCUGGCUCCCUAUCUUGGAGUGGAUGGGCUUUAUGUCCAGGCAGCCAUCUGUGGGAGUGGUAGCCUGGAGCCAGGUCUUGGAGCUACCUGUGCAUGCAUGGUUUCCUGUUAUGAGUUGUCCUGAAAUCCCCACAGGAGCAUGGAAGGACAUCCUAGGCUGUCCUAGCCACUUCCUUUAACCAGGCCCAGAUUGCUUCCACCAGGAAUGCUGAACCUGCAAUUGUUUGAAGGAUUGUUUCAGUACCAGGAUCCUUUCAGACAUCUGGUGAAAUGUGACAAAUCUUUCUAUACUGUACAGCCU